GACGAACGCUGGCGGCGUGCUUAACACAUGCGAGUCGAACGGAGAGGCCCUGCUUUUGUGGGGUUCUCGAUUGGCGAACGCGUGAGUGACACGCGAGUAUCCUGCCCUUGACUUUGGGAUAACUUUAGGAAACUGGGGCUAAUAUCGGAUAUAAUCUCCUGCUGCGUGUGGGUGGUUGGAGAGUUUCGGCGGUUGUAGAUGGACUCGCAGCUUAUCAGCUGGUUUGUGUGGUAGUGGCUUACCAAGUCUUUGACGGGUAGGCGGCCUGAGAGGGUGGACGGCCACCUUGGGACUGAGAUAGGGACCAGACUCGUAUGGGAGGCAGUAGUGGGGAAUCUUGCACAAUGGGCCGACGCCUGAUGUAGAAACGCUGCGUGCGGGAAGACGGCCUUCGGGUUAAAAACAACUUUCGCAGGUGCCGAAGCGUGAGUGACGGUACUGAGUAAAGAAGCACCGGCUAACUACGUG
rnacentral:rRNA from 1 species